rnacentral:tRNA from 1 species
GCCUUCGUGGGGUAAUUGGAAAUCGCAUCAGCUUAGCAGCCGGAAAAUCCGGAGUUCAAAUCUCGGCGAGGGCA